rnacentral:rRNA from 1 species
UUAAGCGACUAAGCGUACACGGUGGAUGCCCUGGCAGUCAGAGGCGAUGAAGGGCGUGCUAAUCUGCGAUAAGCGCCGGUAAGGUGAUAUGAACCGUUAUAACCGGCGAUACCCGAAUGGGGAAACCCAGUGUGACUCGUCACACUAUCAUUAACUGAAUCCAUAGGUUAAUGAGGCGAACCGGGGGAACUGAAACAUCUAAGUACCCCGAGGAAAAGAAAUCAACCGAGAUUCCCCCAGUAGCGGCGAGCGAACGGGGAGGAGCCCAGAGCCUGAAUCAGCAUGUGUGUUAGUGGAAGCGUCUGGAAAGGCGCGCGAUACAGGGUGACAGCCCCGUACACAAAAGCGCAUGUGCUGUGAGCUCGAUGAGUAGGGCGGGACACGUGGUAUCCUGUCUGAAUAUGGGGGGACCAUCCUCCAAGGCUAAAUACUCCUGACUGACCGAUAGUGAACCAGUACCGUGAGGGAAAGGCGAAAAGAACCCCGGCGAGGGGAGUGAAAAAGAACCUGAAACCGUGUACGUACAAGCAGUGGGAGCACCCUUUGGGGUGUGACUGCGUACCUUUUGUAUAAUGGGUCAGCGACUUAUAUUCUGUAGCAAGGUUAACCGUAUAGGGGAGCCGGAGGGAAACCGAGUCUUAAUUGGGCGUUAAGUUGCAGGGUAUAGACCCGAAACCCGGUGAUCUAGCCAUGGGCAGGUUGAAGGUUGGGUAACACUAACUGGAGGACCGAACCGACUAAUGUUGAAAAAUUAGCGGAUGACCUGUGGCUGGGGGUGAAAGGCCAAUCAAACCGGGAGAUAGCUGGUUCUCCCCGAAAGCUAUUUAGGUAGCGCCUCGUGAAUUCAUCUCCGGGGGUAGAGCACUGUUUCGGCUAGGGGGCCAUCCCGGCUUACCAACCCGAUGCAAACUGCGAAUACCGGAGAAUGUUAUCACGGGAGACACACGGCGGGUGCUAACGUCCGUCGUGAAGAGGGAAACAACCCAGACCGCCAGCUAAGGUCCCAAAGUCAUGGUUAAGUGGGAAACGAUGUGGGAAGGCCCAGACAGCCAGGAUGUUGGCUUAGAAGCAGCCAUCAUUUAAAGAAAGCGUAAUAGCUCACUGGUCGAGUCGGCCUGCGCGGAAGAUGUAACGGGGCUAAACCAUGCACCGAAGCUGCGGCAGCGACGCUUAUGCGUUGUUGGGUAGGGGAGCGUUCUGUAAGCCUGUGAAGGUGGCCUGUGAGGGUUGCUGGAGGUAUCAGAAGUGCGAAUGCUGACAUAAGUAACGAUAAAGCGGGUGAAAAGCCCGCUCGCCGGAAGACCAAGGGUUCCUGUCCAACGUUAAUCGGGGCAGGGUGAGUCGACCCCUAAGGCGAGGCCGAAAGGCGUAGUCGAUGGGAAACGGGUUAAUAUUCCCGUACUUGGUGUUACUGCGAAGGGGGGACGGAGAAGGCUAUGUUGGCCGGGCGACGGUUGUCCCGGUUUAAGCGUGUAGGUGUGUGUUCCAGGUAAAUCCGGUUCACUUUAACACUGAGGCGUGAUGACGAGGCACUACGGUGCUGAAGCAACAAAUGCCCUGCUUCCAGGAAAAGCCUCUAAGCAUCAGGUAACAUCAAAUCGUACCCCAAACCGACACAGGUGGUCAGGUAGAGAAUACCAAGGCGCUUGAGAGAACUCGGGUGAAGGAACUAGGCAAAAUGGUGCCGUAACUUCGGGAGAAGGCACGCUGACACGUAGGUGAAGUGAUUUACUCAUGGAGCUGAAGUCAGUCGAAGAUACCAGCUGGCUGCAACUGUUUAUUAAAAACACAGCACUGUGCAAACACGAAAGUGGACGUAUACGGUGUGACGCCUGCCCGGUGCCGGAAGGUUAAUUGAUGGGGUCAGCGCAAGCGAAGCUCCUGAUCGAAGCCCCGGUAAACGGCGGCCGUAACUAUAACGGUCCUAAGGUAGCGAAAUUCCUUGUCGGGUAAGUUCCGACCUGCACGAAUGGCGUAAUGAUGGCCAGGCUGUCUCCACCCGAGACUCAGUGAAAUUGAACUCGCUGUGAAGAUGCAGUGUACCCGCGGCAAGACGGAAAGACCCCGUGAACCUUUACUAUAGCUUGACACUGAACAUUGAGCCUUGAUGUGUAGGAUAGGUGGGAGGCUUUGAAGUGUGGACGCCAGUCUGCAUGGAGCCGACCUUGAAAUACCACCCUUUAAUGUUUGAUGUUCUAACGUGGACCCGUGAUCCGGGUUGCGGACAGUGUCUGGUGGGUAGUUUGACUGGGGCGGUCUCCUCCUAAAGAGUAACGGAGGAGCACGAAGGUUGGCUAAUCCUGGUCGGACAUCAGGAGGUUAGUGCAAUGGCAUAAGCCAGCUUGACUGCGAGCGUGACGGCGCGAGCAGGUGCGAAAGCAGGUCAUAGUGAUCCGGUGGUUCUGAAUGGAAGGGCCAUCGCUCAACGGAUAAAAGGUACUCCGGGGAUAACAGGCUGAUACCGCCCAAGAGUUCAUAUCGACGGCGGUGUUUGGCACCUCGAUGUCGGCUCAUCACAUCCUGGGGCUGAAGUAGGUCCCAAGGGUAUGGCUGUUCGCCAUUUAAAGUGGUACGCGAGCUGGGUUUAGAACGUCGUGAGACAGUUCGGUCCCUAUCUGCCGUGGGCGCUGGAGAACUGAGGGGGGCUGCUCCUAGUACGAGAGGACCGGAGUGGACGCAUCACUGGUGUUCGGGUUGUCAUGCCAAUGGCACUGCCCGGUAGCUAAAUGCGGAAGAGAUAAGUGCUGAAAGCAUCUAAGCACGAAACUUGCCCCGAGAUGAGUUCUCCCUGAGACUUUAAGUCUCCUGAAGGAACGUUGAAGACGACGACGUUGAUAGGCCGGGUGUGUAAGCGCAGCGAUGCGUUGAGCUAACCGGUACUAAUGAACCGUGAGGCUUAACCUU